rnacentral:lncRNA from 1 species
UGCGACCUCGACAGGAGCGAGAGGAGGGACCCGGGCAGCGGCAGCGGUGUCAGCAGAGGACGGUAGAUGCAGCGCAAUACCUCAACCAGGAGGCGGCCACUCCAGCAAGGUAGAUGGGAAGGCAUGGGUGCAUGGUCCGACAGAGAUGCUCAUGUCGACGAAGAUGAUGAGACGGCGACGAUAUUUCUUUAUCGUAGUUUUUUCAUCAAUUAUCUAUAGAACAUAAAGAGAGAUGCAGGAGAACAUGUCAGAACGCAGAACUACCUCAGAUAUUGAAGCAUACAAGCUGAAGGAGCUGCUUAAAGAAAAUGAAAGAACUUAAAAACUGUGUGUAAUUUGGAAAAAAGUUGAUAUAAAUACUUCUGGAUCUGAAUGUUGAAGAGUAACAAACACGUGAAUUACAGACCUAAAUCUACAAGGAAUAUGUCCAAAUCUUCUAUUGCGAAAUCAACUAAAUAUUGCAAUAGGAAAAAAUGCAUGGAUAAAAAGCUUGCCUCAGACAUCCCAUACUCUGUCUGAAGACCUAAAUCAAAAAUACAUAUCGCUAGUGAUUCUUUUCUCAGAUCAAAUUAAAUAAAUAAGAGACACAGGGGCAAAGAAGGGGAGAGAUGAACCUGGGUAUGCGACCAAUGGCGGUGAGGGUGCCAAAAGCGAGUGAAAGCAAGGGAAGGGAGAGAGAGGAGGAGGCCGGCUAAACCAUCUGCUCUGCUUGCUCCUAUGCUCUUAUCCAGCCGCCGGGGUUCUGGUCCAAGACGAAGAAGAGCAACCGCCGUUUGAGGCACAGUUAGUUAAGCACUUAGAACACUAACUGAAGUAGUGAUCACAUGAAUGGCAGAUCAUCAAUCGAGCACGUAAUAAACCAUAAUAACAUGUACAGUAAGGGGAAAAUACACAGAGGACAGCAACAAUUCUUGUAGUAGUACAUGGCAAGUGAACAACCCUAGCAUGACAUAACCUUGUCUUGACGGGUAUGGCUCAGAGCGAGUAGGGAGAGAGCUCAACAUUGGGGUUUUGUAGGUGAUGCCAUCAUCCACUGCCGUCACGAUGCAUAGGUGGUCACUCACCUCAGGAAGCAAGCAUCCGUUGCAAACUCUGCUGCAGCAAAGUAAUAGCCACUCCGGCAGGCGUGACUAAUAAAAAACCAAAUGACAGUCUGAUUCAUUUGUAUAAAAAUUCAUUGACCAAAAUAAACCUCAGAGAAGUUGGCCAUUCAUUUUAGCAGCGAAGCUGCAAAUUCAUUCAUUAAUUCUUUGCUUGAUCUAGAGGAAGGUUGGUUUAUUUGUCAAAUUAAGUAAGUAAGGAAGGUUCGUUCAUUCAUUUGACAAACAGCAGCAGCAGUGUAUGUAGCAUCUUGAUCCAUGGAAGAAGGUGGAGGAGCAGGAAGGGACUUUGUGUGUGAGGUAGUCGUGGCCGUGGUCGGGCUGGACAGCGUCUCCGUCGAGCUCGUCCAUGGAAGGUAUGAAGGACCUGCUUCAGGUGGCCCGCUACUGCUGCAGCUCCAGACCGAAUCAAACAGAAAAAGAAAUCAGGGGUCCGAUCCGAUCUGAUGUGAGAGAGGAGAGGAGAGGAGAGGAGGUGGGGAAAGGGAGAGCUCACCGUUGCAACUGGGCGGCCGGAGAGGUGGAGGAUGGGGGCGGAGGAGGGGAUCCACCCCGGCGAGCCGUCACGCUGCUGCAUCCAUGGAGACGCUGCUACUGCUGCUGACAUCCAUGGAGACGCUGCUG